rnacentral:rRNA from 1 species
AAUUUAAUUUAUUAAUAAUUUUUUAAUUAUUAGAAGAUUUUUAAAAAUAAUUUAUUUUGGAUUUUGUUUUAGUUUUUAAUUUAAAAAAAUUUUUAGAUUUAUAGUUUAUUAGUAUUGUGAAAGAAAUUAUUUAAAUAUUUAAAAGAAUUAUUUUAGUACCUUUUGUAUCAGGGUUAAUUAAAAUUUUUAAUUUAUUUUUAAAUUCUCAAAAUUUAUAGAGUUAAUUUUAUUUUUGAGUUAUUAUAUUAAAAAUAUUUAUAAAAUAAUUUUAGUUUAGAAAUUUAAUUCGUUAUAAUAUAUUUAGUUAUUUAAGAUUUAAAUUUAAUUUAAAAUUUUAAAAGUUUUGUUAAUUUUUUUUAAUUUAAUUUUAAAUUUAAAUUAUUUUAGGGAUAAGCUUAAAAUUUUUAUAAAAUAAUUUUUUUUAAAUUAAUAAAUUUUAGGAUUAGAAAUUUUUAUUUUAAGUUUGUAAAAAUUUAUUAUUUAUUUAAUUUUUAAUUUAUUAUAAAUUUAUUUAUUUUAUUUAUUAAAUUUUAUAAAUUAAUUUUUUAUUUAUAGUAAUAAUGAUUAAAUUAGUAUAAUUGUUAUUUAUAAAUUAUGAAUUCGGCAAUUUUUAUUUUCAUCUGUUUAACAAAAACAUUGUAUUAAGUUUUAUUUAAUAUAGAAUCUGCUCAAUGAUUUUAAAAUUAAAUAGCUGCAGUAUUUUGACUGUGCAAAGGUAGCAUAAUAAUUAGUCUUUUAAUUGAGGACUUGUAUGAAAGAUUUGAUGAGAAAUAAACUUUAUUAUUUAUAUUAUUAAAAUUUUAUUUUUAAGUAAAAAAGCUUAAAUUUUUUUAAGGGACGAUAAGACCCUAUAAAACUUUAUAAAUUUAAUUUUUUUAAAUUUUUGGUUAAAUAAUAAAUUUAAAAUUUUAAAUUUAUUUUAUUGGGGUGAUAAAAAAAAUAAUUAACUUUUUUUAAAUAUUAACAUUAAUUAAUGAUUUUUUGAAUUAAAUUUUUUAAUUAUAAGAAAAAGUUACUUUAGGGAUAACAGCGUAAUUAAUUUUUUAAGUUCAAAUUUGAAAAUUAGAUUGCGACCUCGAUGUUGAAUUAAGAUUAAUCUUAGGUGCAAAAUUUUAAGUUUUAGGUCUGUUCGACCUUUAAAUUCUUACAUGAUUUGAGUUCAAACCGGUGUAAGCCAGGUUGGUUUCUAUCUUUAAAAUUUUAUUUUAUUUUAGUACGAAAGGAUUAAAUAAAAGAAUUAAAUUUUUAAAAAAAAAUAUUAUUAUUUA